rnacentral:rRNA from 1 species
AGCGAACGCUGGCGGCGUGCUUAACACAUGCAAGUCGAGUGCGCGUUUCGUAGCAAUACGGGAUGGCGCACGGCGCACGGGUGAGGAACACGUGGGCAACAUGCCCUCUGAUGGGGGAAUAACCCCGCGAAAGCGGGGCUAAUACCGCAUAAGAUUCCGGGGACCUCGGUCCCUGGACUGAAAGCCCGCAAGGGCGUCGGAGGAGUGGCCCGCGGCCGAUUAGCUUGUUGGCGGGGUAACGGCCCACCAAGGCAAUGAUCGGUAGCCGGUCUGAGAGGACGACCAGCCACACUGGGACUGAGACACGGCCCAGACUCCUACGGGAGGCAGCAGUAGGGAAUCUUGCGCAAUGGGCGAAAGCCUGACGCAGCAACGCCGCGUGGGGAUGACGGCCU